AGUAAUCGUUAUGAUUUUAGUAAUUACAUAAUAGUGUGUGGUACAGGGACGUAACGCUGUUUCCUUUUGCAAUGUACAGCCAUACAGAAAAGCGACUGUGUAAUAAAGAGAUGCUUGCUGUUGAAAAAAGGCUCUCUGAAACGAGAGAUCCAUUUAGAACAGCAGUUUGACGCCUGACUACAGCAACGUAGGCCUAUUCACUCUGAGAAAGACCAAAUACAUCAACAACGUCGAAAGUUGCGUACUUUAAGAGAAAAUAUGCAGAAGAAGAGGAUUUACAUAAAGAUUACCAUGGGUAUUUUCAGAAACAGUUGAUAUUGCCAGAGGACCGGACAUGCAUUUUGAGGCUGUCUCUGGAGAAACUGAAGUUCCUUGAGGAUCCUGAAGCCUAUCUGCGUAGGUCUGUCUUGAUUAACAAUUUGUUAAGAAAGAUCCACCACGAGGCUGAGAAAGAGGACUUUGAGUACUUUGGAAAAAAUACCCCAGAACCAAGGAAGCGACUGAAACUCAUGGUUGCAGGCUGCUGCUCUCAGUCCUUCUGCUACAACAAUCUGCAGUCUUAUCAUGUUGUGCCUUAUGGGUCAGACAACACCAUGUAUGGAUUGGGCUUUCCCAGCAGUCAACGAGGCCAAACUUCUCAACUACUGGUAUAUAAAAUAGACGAUAAGGGAUGAUAACUUUUUGACUAGCUCUUUGAAACAAGCACAGUGUUUUAUCAACAGCGUAACAGAGACAGAGGUAAUAUUGAAAUGCUUUCAGUGAAUGGAAGACCCCUGCCAUGCCUUAAAAACAUGAUUGAGAAGCAUGGGUGUCAAAAGUAUAUCAUAGCAUUUGGAAGCACAGUAAAAGUGGUUAAUACAUUGUAUUGUGAUGUUCUGCUUUUUAUGUCAGAGUGUGGCAAUAUACAACAAGGAUCUAAGCAGCUGAGCAAAAAAUAUUAUGAUACGCAGUUUACAGGUGAGGGCAUAUGCAAAUUCAGUGGCAGCAGUUGAAAA